rnacentral:rRNA from 1 species
CCUACGGGAGGCAGCAGUGGGGAAUAUUGCACAAUGGGGGAAACCCUGAUGCAGCGACGCCGCGUGAGUGAAGAAGUAUUUCGGUAUGUAAAGCUCUAUCAGCAGGGAAGAUAAUGACGGUACCUGACUAAGAAGCCCCGGCUAACUACGUGCCAGCAGCCGCGGUAAUACGUCGGGGGCCAGCGUUAUACGGAUGUACUGGGUGUAAUGCGUGCGUAGGAGGCAGGGUAAGUCAGAUGGGAAAGUCCGGGGCUCAACCCCGGUACUGACGUUGAAACUGUCCAGGUGGAGUGCAGGAGAGGUAAGCGGAAUUCGUAGUGUAGCGGUGAAAUGCGUAGAUAUUAGGAGGAACACCAGUGGCGAAGGCGGCUUACUGGACUGUAACUGACACUGAGGCACGAAAGCGUGGGGAGCAAACAGGAGUAGAUACCCCAGUAGUC